AGGGAUGUAGCUCAGUGGCAGAGCACUCACCUAGCAUGGAUGAGGCCCUGGCUUCAACUCCCAGCAUCACAA
rnacentral:tRNA from 1 species